AGGAUGAUUACAUCAGGACUGUGGAGGAAACCCCAGGCUCGGAUGAAAUACAGAUGUUGUAAAAAUGGGUUCCUGGAUUGAGUGAAAAAGAGCCAUGGAGUCACCAUUUUGUUACGCAACAAACGGAAGAAAACUGACUAAAUAAAACAAGGGAGGGACUACCUAGACUGUUCCAAUAAGAAACAUUUCAAAAACAUUUUGCUACGCUGUGCCCUAAUGAACAUGGCCCUGAUCUGAUGGAGCGUUGCUGGGAUUCUGGGAGGAGACGUGGAGACUGAGGGUCCGUCCCAAAUGGCAUCCUCGUCUCUAUAUCAGGGUUCCCCAACAGGUUAUAUCAUUUGGACCUCUUCCUCCCCUCAUGUUUUCUGAGCAAAAAAAAAACGUUUUUAUAAAAUCUAUUUUUGCUU